GAUGGCCGUUCGGCGGGGCGAUAAAUUACAGAGAACGAAACGACGGUUAAAUCAUCAUUUGCGCGAGACAUUAAAAUGCCGGCGCAAAAAUCCAGAUGGGAGGUACCCUGAUGAAUGCAUUUUGCGUCGCGGUCACGCAAAUCUGCCGCCGAUCGGCACGAGUUACGGCGUCGCGAAACGGUUGGCCGCGGACACGUCCGGAAGUCGAUGACGGAACGGCAUAGGAAAGAAGCGGAGCCAUUAAAUGACCUGGCAAACGAAGAAGAAACGAGAAUCCGUCGCCGAUGUUGAUCAACGUGUUACAGUCUACGCGAGAUACAUAACGCGAUCUGCGAUGGUGGUACUCGCGAAGGUAUAUAUUCCUUACCAGAACGGCCGUUGAUGACUCACGAAAAUAUCUCCAGCGACGCUGGUAUUAUCAGAAAACACGGACAUACAGACCAAAUUAAUUUCCUCGGCCACGAACGGCUCGAUCGCGCGACAGCGUGGGCGAAAUUAGAUGUUCUCCAUUAGAGCGGUCCGACCCGUUUACAUUCACCGACCAGAAAAAUAUGAGAAGACGACACACAUCGACAAUAGAACGACGAUUUUCGAUUUAUAAGACGAGCCUCUUGUAUCAUUGUUACGUUUCCGUGAGGAGUCGCAUGCAACGAGAAGCCGGGAAGCCGCGGUAGUCAGCCGUCAUUGAUCUCCUGUUAGAAUCGGAUCACUUCGAUGUAACAAGAUAAAUAGUCAGCGGGACACCGUCGGUGGUCGAGGGUGCGGAUCGCGGAGUCAUGCUGACUAUGUAUCUGAUCAAGAGAGAGCCGGGUACGCUUGUUCCGCGCGAUCUAUCCGGGCUACACUUAACGUGUACACCCCGGUGAUUCUUCGAUCGUCUCGAACAAACUGAUGAGACACUUUCACAAUUUACUUACUACACGCGGUUGACGAAAGGAAGUUGCCAACUAUCGUUCCUGCGUGAAGGAAGAAUUAAAUAUACUGAUAAUAUUCUUCAGUUCUCUUCUGCGGAGCAUAUCGAUAUUGUUUCACGUAGACAAACUGUAGCGAGAGAGAAUUACAAUCGAUUCACGCUACGAAGGCGAGAAGAAUCGCUAAAUGAUUGACUAAGGAUUAUUAAAGACAAGAACUAUGUCGGACUGCGCGUCGUUCAACCGCAAAUCUCACGAUCUAACGACGAGUUCUCGCUUUAAUGUCUCUCCAUAGCGCGCUCGACGACGGAGAACCUCCCCCUUUUCCCCCAGGUUUCAGGAACAGCGCGAGCCCGAUCGGCUUUUUAUUCCGGUCCGGUUUUUUGCACGAUCGUCGGGGAUCUUUCGUCACAGCAACACCCGGGCACGUGACGCCGCGGACACGGUGUUACAGGUGUUCGCGUUCAUCCAUAGCCUCGACAAUACUAGCGGUGACAUCCUUUCGAAUCGAUUCGUCGGACUUUCCUUCGUAAUCCGGAUUUUUGCCGCAACGACUCCGCCACCCACGAGUGUGAAAUGGUAACUUUCUGGGAAAACGUCAACCGACCGCGCGGGAUCAGCUGAUCGGUUUAUUCGCCUCGUCGUUCGUCGUUCUUAGCGUUUUUCAACGAUAUCUCGCCGGCCGGCUAAACGCGGCCAAUAACUUCGUUAACUGUUUUUAUCUAGAAUACAGAAUCGGGUGGUUUCCGGAAGUGGUCUGAACGUCACAGAACAUUUAAGCCGGUUUCUUCCUUUCUGCGGCCUCUCGAGAGCGCCGUUACUGGAGCCUGUCGCGAUUGCAAUGCAAUGAUUUUAAUUGCCCGAGACGUUUCUCUCGUAUGUUAAAUUAUAGUAAGAACCAAGUGUUCGAGUUCGAGAAACAUUGAAAUAAAAUAACGUUCGAUAAAUCGAAAACGCGAUAAGAAUGUAUUGCUACUUUUUAGAAAAUAGAUGGAAAAAAGAAACGAUUGAGAUUUAGACAAAAACAUUGAGAUUAGGAAUUUUUUACGGAGAAGACGAUUCUCUCUCCAUCCGUCUCGUUACAAACGCGGCUCCGAUUACAAGUGGUCCGGACAGCAAAAAAUAUGUAGUAAAACAAGCAAAGUGUGAUCGGUUACGUGCGAGAGGACGGGCAUAAACGAUGAAAGGGGUGGUCCGGCUGGUAUUGGGCGAGGAGCUCGUCUGCUCGGUGAACCGUGGAUUAAGAUAAACCCUUCAUCGGUUUCUUGUCGAACGAUUUCUCUCGUCCUUUUGUUGGCGCGACCCGCAGAUAGCGCUGGCUUAAAGUACUUUCCGUCCCCGCGUGGAAAUUAUUUAACGCCGUUAUCUACCCGCGAACGCGCGCGGAGAAUCUUUCAGCGCGAUAGAAAGUAAUAGAAAGCGUGCAAAAGAGGAACACAGACGCAAGAGAGGGAAAGAAAAAGGGAGAGAAAGAGAGAAGCGAGUUGAAGAUUUACAUUAUACCCGCAGGAAAUAAAAAUUACGCACGCGUGAAAGCAAUCGGUACGGAAAAGCGGAAAAUUUGCAAUUUCUAUUCGUAGAAAUCUGAUAUCCCGCGGCACAAUUCAUAUGCCGGUAAUUGCUAAUUCAAUGAAUAUGAAGCAAUUCCACAAGUGACCGAAUAAGGAAAACUAGAUUUCGAAAAAUAUUUCUUUUUUUUUCAUUCUAUUAUUAAUUAUCUUAUCUGAAACGAGUUUUCUCCUUACUCGAGUCGAAACUUUUUUUCUACUUUCAAUCUCAAUUUUCAAUCUAACAUCUACUUCAAACAAUCAGAACAUUCUCUUUUGAAACUAUUUGAGCUAUAGUUUUUCCCAAAGCUCGUCUUUUAAAUUCUAAUAGACAGAAAACUGUUCUUUUUCCUAUCUAUUCGAGGUAUAAAGGAUUUUAAUUAUAGGACUUUAAUUUCUAUAUAAAUUAAAUCCAGCGAAAUCCACUGGAAUCCAUAAACAUGAGAAAAUUGCGGUUGAAAAUGAUAGAAAAAUUUCUAUUCGGAAUGUUUAAUGAACUCUUUAGUUAUAUAAGGUGAUAAAUAUAUUAAGAUGAUAAAAAGCAUGGAUGAAGCAUUCCCCCCAUGAGGAAAUAUUUCAACAUAGAUGUCAUCGAUGAUACAUCGCCGCAUGAUACCUAUUCUUUGCUAUAUUUCUCCUUUAAUUUCACGCCAGUAGUUGCAGCCGCGAUAGGUGGAUUUACGGCUCGUUUCGUGGCAUUUCUUUUCUCUUCGUCUUCGCCGCGAUGCGUAAUGCGGUGAGAAUGCGGAUUGGUUUCACGUUGUCGGACAGCUUGCUCGGUUACGGAUUCCCUCGUAUGUAUUUAGAUUCCCUGGCGCUCGUUAGAACCACCAUAAAUAUGUAAGAUGAUGCAUGAGAGAACGAUUUCAGAGAAUGUGUGUUUGCUCUAUUUUUUGUACAUAUAUAUGAUUCGAUAGGCAGUAUCCGCAUCCGAAUUAACGCGAACGCAUAAUCUCUUUUCUUAUCAUAGAAUGUAAAAAGCAAUUGUACUAAUUUUUUUUCUGGCUAAAGCAUAAACAUAGACGAAAGAUCCGGUCUGCAAACUAUAAAAGAUAUGAAUAAGAUGAUUAUAUGAGGAAGACGUUUAAAAAUUAAAAAUUUUGAAUAUUUUUUGCUAUAUACAUGACAUUCGCUUUCCGUUGUCAUAUACUCUUAUCACGAUAAUAAAAUUAAUACUGCAACAUGGUUGUAAUAUUUUUUGACAAGUAUCUUAUCUCCAUAAUGAGAUAACUUUGUGUCUGACAUUAAUCGGCUGCACAAACGCAUAAAACCGAUGAAUAUAUCGAUAAUUUUUUAUUUAGAAUGAUUAGAUUGAUUGCAUUCGUUAGAUAAUAAAAUUAAUCUUAAUAAAGCCUUUUCUUUCUCUCUCUCUCUCUCUCCUCUCUCUCAAGUAAUUAAACAAACACUUCUCUUCUAAUCUAAACAUUUUUCAAAACUUACUUGUUUGCAAGUUUUAUUUCUCGGCAACAGAAAUAUUCCAUAAUAUUAUAUUGCGGCGAUUGAAGAAUCACUGUCAUACAAUUAUCAAUAAUGAUAAUAGCACACAAUAUUACAGUUAUAAUUGUUAUUAAUUACAAGAACAACACAAGCGUUAUUUUUGUCAUAAUUAUUAUAACAAUUGUAGAAUUAAUAUCGAUGUGCCAAUAAUCGCAAUUAUAUCCUUCUAGAGUAAUUCAAUGAAAAAUAAAAAUAGCAUUUUAUCUCAAUUAUCUAAAUAAUAUCCUUCGAUCUUCAUUCUUCUCCAAACGAUAUUAUUACGCUCCAGAAGCAAUUUACGUUGUAUACAUCCCAAAGUUCGCUUGGGUGCCGUUGGAAAGUUUACCGAUCCAGAAAUGCGUCGGUGCCAGUGACAAAGCCGGCUUCCUCCGUCGGUGAACUUUCAACGAGAUUUGAUAUCCCUCCACAAGUCACUCUUACAUAUACUC